rnacentral:rRNA from 1 species
AGUUUGAUCCUGGCUCAGGAUGAACGCUAGCGGCAGGCCUAAUACAUGCAAGUCGAACGGUGUAGCAAUACAUAGUGGCGCACGGGUGCGUAACACGUAUGCAACCUACCUUAUACUUAGGGAUAGCCUUUGGAAACGGAGAUUAAUACUUAAUGGUAUAUUUAGCUGGCAUCGGUUAGAUAUUAAAGAUUUAUUGGUAUAAGAUGGGCAUGCGUCCAAUUAGUUGGUUGGUGAGGUAAUGGCUCACCAAGACGAUGAUUGGUAGGGGAACUGAGAGGUUAAUCCCCCACACUGGCACUGAGAUACGGGCCAGACUCCUACGGGAGGCAGCAGUAGGGAAUAUUGGGCAAUGGAGGGAACUCUGACCCAGCCAUGCCGCGUGCAGGAUGAAGGCGUUAUGCGUUGUAAACUGCUUUUAUAUAGGAAGAAACAGACCUUGCGAGGUAAAUUGACGGUACUAUAUGAAUAAGCACCGGCUAACUCCGUGCCAGCAGCCGCGGUAAUACGGAGGGUGCAAGCGUUGUCCGGAUUUAUUGGGUUUAAAGGGUGCGUAGGCGGUUUAUUAAGUCAGUGGUGAAAGACGGUCGCUCAACGAUUGCAGUGCCAUUGAUACUGGUAGACUUGAGUGUGAUUGAGGUAGCUGGAAUGGAUAGUGUAGCGGUGAAAUGCAUAGAUAUUAUCCAGAACACCAAUUGCGAAGGCAGGUUACUAAGUCACAACUGACGCUGAUG